ensembl:lncRNA
GCAGCCCUUGCUCAUGGAUCUUCUCUCACAGGCUGAUAAGAUGAUCCAGGUUGCCAGUUUCAUCUCAUCUUUUGCCACAGAUUCUAAGGGUCUAGAAAACAUGGAGAACUCAAGGGCAUGCUUCACGCGGCUAAAGGCUGGGAUCAAACCUCUCAUGCUGGAGUUGGAUAGCAACAGUUCAGACUCUGAGAAGUUCUUUGAAGUUGUGCAAAAACUCCAUGAUCUGUGUCAGCGAUGGGAUGAGGAGACCAUUCAGCUGCAGGGUGCUCUUUGUGACGUCCUCAAUGUUAAAGAGUUCACUUCUUUGGCAGUUUCUGAAAUGGCUAAUGAAUGGCAUGAAUGCAAAGCAGCGUAUAAAGCUAAGAACCUCAAGCUGUUCCGCAAGCUAGCUGAUAACCUUAUUUCCCAGACAAAACAGGUGUUCCACACUGUUAGAAGGCAAUUAGACAAAAGUAACAACCCUAUUUAUCGCAAUGGUCUACUAGUGCUGUUGAAACAAGUUGAAGCUUCACAGACCAAGGUGGUUGGAGCUAUCAGAGAGAUAGGUUCUAGUUCCAACCUAGGUCUGGAUGUAUCCUCUGGCUUUUCAGACCACGCCUCAGUGAUGAUCCAGCAAUUUCAAGUUUUAAGAGAAGGACUGGAUGGACAGAAACAUCCACAUCUUCUUAGUCCACUGCGAGAGGACGCACGCCACUGCAGAGUUUCACCCUCAGUUCGAAUAACCAAUGAAGCUCAAGGAUCAGCUCUAGAUCAGGAAGUAGGAGAUGUUUGCCUUCAGUCUCCUGUUCUUUCAGAAAGACAUUCACCAGUUGAAUGUAAAGUUGAGCCCUCAGAUAAAGAAAUUGGAGAUCCCAUGAUGGCACGCAAAGAUUUGCAAUAUGAUUUAAAAGGGACAGCUGUUUCAGGUGAAGCAAAACCUUUUGAUUUUGACCUUCUGCCCCUGUUGUAUGAAGUUGUGACUGUGACUAAAGAAAAAGAUGUAACGGUUCUCAGCAAAUCCUGUACAGGAGUUCUCAAGCUGUCAAACUGUUAUGCUCAGGCGGCAAAAGAAGCUUCAAUUCUUGUUGACACUGUCGAUAAGCAGACAUUGGAUAUUUUCAGGUCAGAGUUAUUGACCCUGACGCCUCAGUUGGUCCAGACAGCUCAAGAGACCGCAAUGAGCUCGAACAUGAGCAUAGACACUCUCUACAAACACAGUACAUUACUGUCUGACUUGAUCAAAAACCUCAGAAAAGUCCUCAUACCAGCUGCUGGAGCGUGGUACCAGCAGAUCUUUUCAAUGUUUCAAGGUUGUCAGCCGAACAUUGGCACUGCUCAGGAGCUCAGCAAAGUAAUUAAUCUUUGUUCCAAUGUUGUGCAGCUGUUGACAUCGUCUGAUAUAACCACCCCAAGUGAAUGUCAGGAGAGUUUUAUGGCUUUACAGAGCAAGCUGAACAAAGCACAUAACAACACAAGACAUCUGGCUGAACUUGCUAGCUCAUCAACACCAAGUCAAGCAGAUCAACUUGAAGGGCCUUGUAUUUUAUGGGCACUGUCUAUCCAAAUUUUACUGAAAUCCCUGGAUACUAUUUUGGGAACAAGGGAAUCAUUGAUUAGACAGUUGACCCCUCAGAAAAGAUUGACGGCCAUGUCCGAGAACUCACUGAGAAUACAAGAGGCAGCGAGACUAACUAGCUUGAACUGUAAAAGCGCCUAUGAAGAGAAAACUUUGACAGAACUUCAAGGGGAGUUGAAGAUUCUUACUGAGGCUUUCUUACAGGUUGCUGAGAACCACAACAUUCUGCCCUUCUCAGGAAUCCUUAAAUUUGCCAGAUCAGAACUCCUCCAAAGACAACUGCUGAUCAAAAUUAGGGUGAUAUCCGGCCAUUUGAACAAAGCAAAUAAGGACUAUGUCAACCCGAUUAAAAACAUCUUAAACAUCGCUUACACCGCUGCUGAGCAUCAUGAAGAUGACAAGAUGUCUGAGGAGGCCCAAGAAAGAUUUGACACAGCUGCAGAAUUGUUCAUCAAGAAUGUCAGAGCUGCAACGAAGAGUGUUGAAGACUGUUUUAAUUACAUUCGCCAGCCUCAUGUUCGAGUUGCCCUGAGAUCCAUCAACGAUCAUUUGUCUUUCCAGAUCUCAGAUAUAGUGAGCCGAGCCAGACUCUUAACAGAGCGCCAUUGUAUCGACGACACUCUCAGCCUGGAGAUACGGAUUCAAUGCUGGUCUGCUAAGGCUCGCUAUGUAACUGAGGAGCUCUAUAAGGUGGAUGAGCUAAUCCAGGAGGCUAAGGAAAAAGUCAAGGCUGGUCUGCAGGGUGGAAGAUCAGGGGAUUCCAAAAAGUGGAUGACUGGGACAAGUCUUUGUACUACCAUGAAGAGGGUUGAUUACCAACCAGAGAUUGCACCCUGGCAGCUAAUCAAUACAGAGAAUUUUAAUGUCUCAGGACAGGCCAGUAUAAGUGGUGAAAAUCCCCAACAUGAAUCGGUGAUGGCAACUCAACAAUGUGAGGCCUCAAAGUCUGCUGUCUGCGGGGACACCCCAUUCCUGACAAACUCCACCGGGUCCCUCAUGUACACCACAACCACUCCUUCUCUUACCUAUACCUCCCUGUUCCUCAAACAAGAGACAGACCAGUGGGAUGCUCAGGGCAACCGUAUCGUCCAGGUAACCAGGGAGAUGGCGGACCAGAUCUACCACAUGGCCCAGUACCUGAGGAGGAAAGGACCAAUACUGGUGAUGAAGAUCAAUCAACCAAUACAUCUACUUAUUGUUUCAACUGGAAAGAAUUUAGUGCAGUCUGGUUAA